rnacentral:rRNA from 1 species
AGGCAGCAGUGGGGAAUAUUGGACAAUGGGGGCAACCCUGAUCCAGCCAUGCCGCGUGUGUGAAGAAGGCCUUGGGGUUGUAAAGCACUUUCAGUGGGGAGAAAGGUGAUUCACCUAAUACGUGAGUCAAUUGAUGCUACCCACAGAAGAAGCACCGGCUAACUCC